AGGCCGGGGGCGUGACAAUUAAUAUGAUAUCAGAGCAUAAGUGGAUAAAUUAUGGCACAUAGAAUUAGACAUAGUAUGAGUGUAGGUGGGUAAAUAUUAGAAAUAUUGGGACGAUAAAGUAUGAGCAUCAUAAUAAACCCAUCCUAACAAAUAGAUAAAUGAAUCUAAUAAGGUUUUACUACUACAAGGUUAUCAUGCCUCCCCGUAGAAUGACAAGAACUACUCAAGGAAUUGCUAGAGAGACAUCACAACCACGGGAUGGUAGCACUCCCCAUCUGACCAGUGGCACCCCUCAGGAGGAGGGAGUCGUAGAUCCUAAUGGGAGUACUUCGAGAGCACGUCAGAAACCAGAUAUGGCUCAGUUAAUGCAGACCCUAAUCAGGAUGGUACAAGCGCAACAACAAAUACAGCAGCAAAUGCUUGAACAACAGCAAAUACAACGAGAUACACAACAACAUCAGCAUCCAUCACCACAACAUGGAGAGCAACCAGUACAACGGAA
rnacentral:lncRNA from 1 species